UGCACAUCAACUGCUAUCCCUACCUCUGCGUGGUACUGGACCGGCUGUGAGAAACUUUAGAGAGGAUCGGGUAACCAAGCCCAGUAGAAACUAUGGUCGUAUGCUGAAAGAGAAGG
rnacentral:ribozyme from 1 species